UAGCUAGUUGGUGAGGUAACGGCUUACCAAGGCGACGAUCUGUAGCGGGUCUGAGAGGAUGAUCCGCCACACUGGAACUGAGACACGGUCCAGACUCCUACGGGAGGCAGCAGUGGGGAAUUUUGGACAAUGGGGGCAACCCUGAUCCAGCCAUGCCGCGUGAGUGAAGAAGGCCUUCGGGUUGUAAAGCUCUUUCGGCCGGGAAGAAAUCGCAUGGGCCAAUACCCUGUGUGGAUGACGGUACCGGAAUAAGAAGCACCGGCUAACUACGUGCCAGCAGCCGCGGUAAUACGUAGGGUGCGAGCGUUAAUCGGAAUUACUGGGCGUAAAGCGUGCGCAGGCGGUUUUGUAAGACAGGCGUGAAAUCCCCGGGCUCAACCUGGGAACUGCGUUUGUGACUGCAAGGCUAGAGUACGGCAGAGGGGGGUGGAAUUCCACGUGUAGCAGUGAAAUGCGUAGAGAUGUGGAGGAACACCAAUGGCGAAGGCAGCCCCCUGGGUCGAUACUGACGCUCAUGCACGAAAGCGUGGGUAGCAAACAGGAUUAGAUACCCUGGUAGUCCACGCCCUAAACUAUGUCAACUAGGUGUUGGGUGGGUAAAACCAUUUAGUACCGUAGCUAACGCGUGAAGUUGACCGCCUGGGGAGUACGGCCGCAAGGUUAAAACUCAAAGGAAUUGACGGGGACCCGCACAAGCGGUGGAUGAUGUGGAUUAAUUCGAUGCAACGCGAAAAACCUUACCUACCCUUGACAUGCCAGGAACUUGCCAGAGAUGGCUUGGUGCCCGAAAGGGAGCCUGGACACAGGUGCUGCAUGGCUGUCGUCAGCUCGUGUCGUGAGAUGUUGGGUUAAGUCCCGCAACGAGCGCAACCCUUGUCGUUAAUUGCCAUCAUUUAGUUGGGCACUUUAGCGAGACUGCCGGUGACAAACCGGAGGAAGGUGGGGAUGACGUCAAGUCCUCAUGGCCCUUAUGGGUAGGGCUUCACACGUCAUACAAUGGUCGGUACAAGGGGUCGCCAAGCCGCGAGGUGGAGCCAAUCCCAGAAAGCCGAUCGUAGUCCGGAUUGCAGGCCGCAACUCGCCUGCAUGAAGUCGGAAUCGCUAGUAAUCGUGGAUCAGCAUGUCACGGUGAAUACGUUCCCGGGUCUUGUACACACCGCCCGUCACACCAUGGGAGCGGGUUCCGCCAGAAGUAGGUAGCCUAACCGCAAGGAGGGCGCUUACCACGGCGGGGUUCGUGACUGGGGUGAAGUCGUAACAAGGUAGCCGUAGGGGAACCUGCGGCUG
rnacentral:rRNA from 1 species